rnacentral:rRNA from 1 species
UGCGUAGGCGGGUCUUUAAGUCAGGGGUGAAAUCCUGGAGCUCAACUCCAGAACUGCCUUUGAUACUGAAGAUCUUGAGUCCGGAAGAGGUGAGUGGAACUGCGAGUGUAGAGGUGAAAUUCGUAGAUAUUCGCAAGAACACCAGUGGCGAAGGCGGCUCACUGGUCCGGUACUGACGCUGAGGCACGAAAGCGUGGGGAGCAAACA